CCAGAGACCUAGCUGGAAGCGGCGGCGCGCACGCUUGCCAGCCACUUCACCUGGUGGGAGGCUGGCGAGUGUGCACGCCGCCGCUUCCGACAAGGUCUCUGGGCUGCCUGGACCUGGUCUCAGCAGCAUGCCAUGGCGGAAGUAGCACCGGAAGAGGAGGCUGCCUCCAACUCCCAGCCAGGCUUCGGGAGGAAGUAGAGCCUGGUAGUUGGGCCGCAAAGAAGAUCCCGCCCCUUUCCCCGGUGCUCUGCUUUUGGCUACGAGGAGUACGGGGGCGUGGCCUCUGAAGUUCCCUCUCUUUGGUCCUCCAGACACAUUCUGACCUCAACUCCCAGAAUUCAGGUGCACUGACUUUACUGGGUAGCUAUGGGUUUUUUGGGCUGUAUGCCCAUGUUCCAGAAGCAUUCUCUCCUGAUGUUUAGCCCACAUCUAUGGCAGGCAUCCUCAGAAGUUCUGAGGUCCGUUAGAAGCUAGGCUUAGUGCUGAGACACUCACGUCCAUCUGUCCUCCGAGCCUCCAUGUGUACAAGGUCAGGCUCCUUGUCCAAGCCUGUGACAGACCUGAGAGAAAAGAAGAAGAGAAGGAAAUCAAUCUGUGAGGUGGAAUGGUGUAGUAGCAAGCAAAGGUCAAAGUGGAUGAGAAAUGGAAAGAAGUAGAAAGCAAGUUGGCUUCUUCUCAUUUUAAGUAAGCUACCCUGAGACUGGAAAGGAUUUAGUGCAUGAAGAAGCACAAAAACCAAGGAGCUCAGAUUUAAUGAAGAGACUAGUUCAAAAAGCACAGAGAACUACCAUUGUGUGCCCUUGUGAAAUAUUCUCAUAUAGAACCAAUGCUAUAAUGUUUACCUUCUAAAACAGGCCUUGCCAUAUUUGUAUAAGCCCUAAAUCAGGACUUGAGGAACAUGAAGCCCUUCAAUACAAUUGAACUGUCCAGUAACAUUUUGAGGGCUACUUCAUUCCUCUUCCUGCCCUAUACUAUCACAGUUGAAUAAAAUUCUGAAAGGAUGUA